rnacentral:pre_miRNA from 1 species
UGUUAAAAACUUCAUCCAUUUGUACUGUUAAAAAAUGAUGUGAAUGAUGGAAUAACCAAAUAGUAAUGCAUGAUGUGUCACGUGUACCUCAGCAGAUGUACAUGAAUCAAUUUUUAACAGAAAAAUUAGUUUGCUCUUUGAUA